rnacentral:rRNA from 1 species
CCUAGGGGCACGAACCGGAUUAGAUACCCGGGUAGUCCUAGGUGUAAACGCUGUGAACUUGGUGUCGGGGAUCCGUAAUGGGUCCCCGGUGCCGGAGUGAAGAUGUUAAGUUCACUGCCUGGGGAGUACGGUCGCAAGGCUGAAACUUAAAGGAAUUGGCGGGGGAGCACUGCAACGGGAGGAGCGUGCGGUUUAAUUGGAUUCAACGCCGGAAAACUCACCAGGGCCGACUGUUAGAUGAAGACCAGCGUAAUGAGCUUGUCGGAUUUUCAGAGAGGUGGUGCAUGGCCGUCGUCAGUUCGUACUGUAAAGCGUUCUGUUAAGUCAGAUAACGAACGAGACCCUCAUCUCUAUUUGCUACCCGUCUCUCCGGAGGCGGCGCACUAUAGGGAGACCGCUGGUGUUAAACCAGAGGAAGGCGAGGGCAACGACAGGUCAGUAUGCCCCGAAUGUCCUGGGCUACACGCGCGCUACAAAGGACGGGACAAUGGGAAGCCAGGCCGAGAGGCCGAGCUACCCCGAAACCCGUUCAUAGUUCGGAUCGUGGGCUGUAACUCGCCCACGUGAAGCUGGAUUCCGUAGUAAUCGUGUUUCAAUAUAGCACGGUGAAUAUGCCCCU